rnacentral:rRNA from 1 species
GACGAACGCUGGCGGCGUGCUUAACACAUGCAAGUCGAGCGGUAAGGCCCUUUCGGGGGGUACACGAGCGGCGAACGGGUGAGUAACACGUGGGUGACCUGCCCUCAGCUCUGGGAUAAGCCUGGGAAACUGGGUCUAAUACUGGAUAUGACUCCACGGUGCAUGUCGUGGGGUGGAAAGCCUUGUGCGGCUGAGGAUGGGGCCCGCGGCCUAUCAGCUUGUUGGUGGGGGUGAGGCCUACCAAGGCGACGACGGGUAGCCGGCCUGAGAGGGCGACCGGCCACACUGGGACUGAGACACGGCCCAGACUCCUACGGGAGGCAGCAGUGGGGAAUCUUGCGCAAUGGGCGAAAGCCUGACGCAGCGACGCCGCGUGAGGGAUGACGGCCUCGG